rnacentral:rRNA from 1 species
UACGUGAGGGGCAAGCGUUGUCCGGAAUCAUUGGGCGUAAAGCGCGUGUAGGCGGUUCGGUAAGUCGGCUGUGAAAGUCCAGGGCUCAACCCUGGGAUGCCGGUCGAUACUGCCGGACUAGAGUUCGGAAGAGGCGAGUGGAAUUCCCGGUGUAGCGGUGAAAUGCGCAGAUAUCGGGAGGAACACCAAUGGCGAAGGCAGCUCGCUGGGACGUUAUUGACGCUGAGACGGCGAAAGCGUGGGGAGCAAACAGG